rnacentral:rRNA from 1 species
GACGAACGCUGGCGGCGUGCUUAACACAUGCAAGUCGAACGAUGAAACCUAGCUUGCUAGGUCGAUUAGUGGCGAACGGGUGAGUAACACGUGACUAACCUGCCCCUUUCUCUGGGAUAACGCUCCGAAAGGAGUGCUAAUACCGGAUACUCACACCUAGGCACAUGCCUGGGGGUGGAAAGUUUUUCGGAAAGGGAUGGAGUCGCGGCCUAUCAGCUUGUUGGUGAGGUAACGGCUCGCCAAGGCGACGACGGGUAGCCGGCCUGAGGGGGCGACCGGCCAAACUGGGACUGAGACACGGCCCAGACUCCUACGGGAGGCAGCAGUGGGGAAUAUUGCACAAUGGGCGCAAGCCUGAUGCAGCGACGCCGCGUGAGGGAUGAAGGUCUUCGGAUUGUAAACCUCUUUCAGUAGGGACGAAGCGAAAGUGACGGUACCUAAAGAAGAAGCACCGGCUAACUACGUGCCAGCCGCCGCAGUAA